rnacentral:rRNA from 1 species
ACGAACGCUGGCGGCGUGCUUAACACAUGCAAGGUCGAGGGGAAACGACAUCGAAGCUUGCUUUGAUGGGCGUCGACCGGCGCACGGGUGAGUAACGCGUAUCCAACCUGCCCACCACUUGGGGAUAACCUUGCGAAAGUAAGACUAAUACCCGAUGAUAUCUCUAGAAGACAUCUGAAAGGGAUUAAAGAUUUAUCGGUGAAGGAUGGGGAUGCGUCUGAUUAGCUUGUUGGUGAGGUAACGGCUCACCAAGGCGACGAUCAGUAGGGGUUCUGAGAGGAAGGUCCCCCACAUUGGAACUGAGACACGGUCCAAACUCCUACGGGAGGCAGCAGUGAGGAAUAUUGGUCAAUGGGCGAGAGCCUGAACCAGCCAAGUAGCGUGCAGGACGACGGCCCUAUGGGUUGUAAACUGCUUUUAUAUGGGGAUAAAGUGAGCUACGUGUAGUUUAUUGCAGGUACCAUAUGAAUAAGGACCGGCUAAUUCCGUG